rnacentral:rRNA from 1 species
GACAGAGGCCUCGAGCGUUAGGCGGAAUCACUGGGCUUAAAGGGCGCGUAGGCGGGUGACCAAGUCAGGGGUGAAAUCUUUCGGCCCAACCGGAAAAGUGCCUCUGAUACUGGUCGUCUUGAGGGAGGUAGGGGUCGAGGGAACUGGUGGUGGAGCGGUGAAAUGCGUAGAUAUCACUAGGAACGCCGGUGGCGAAAGCGCUCGACUGGACCUCUUCUGACGCUGAGGCGCGAAAGCCAGGGGAGCAAACGGG